CAGCGGAAUGGAGCUGUCCAUGCCGCGGGAGUGACAGGGGAGCGCUCAGAGGUAAGGCGCUCUGCAGAGAAAGUCACUCUGGCUCUUCUCUCUCGGUCCACCAGCCGGCGACGCUUCUUCUGUAAAAGCAUUCCUAGAAAAUAACCCUACAACCGGGAAGGGUAGCGAUCUUUGAGCGCAGUUUCCAGGAGCUGGUCCCCGCAGCAGGGAGAGGCCCCUCUCCCCCCGCGGCUGGCGCGGAAUGUGGCGAUCCGGCCCGGCGCGGGGGAUGACUUCCUGCGGCCGGAGCUCGGCGGCGGGAGCGGCGGGAGCAGCUGCUGCAGCUGGCAGGUGGGGUGGGGGCCGGCCGAACUGACCAAGCACAGACCCGGCGCGGCGGCACUGCGGCCCCGGGGCAGCCGGCGCGGGGACAUGCGCUGAUUCGAUCCCUCCGGAGAAGGCUCCGGACGUGCAGGCUCAGCAGCCAUGGCUCAUGGGCACAGCCCACUCUGCGGCAUGUGGGAUCCUCCCGGACCGGGGCACGAACCCGCAUCCCCUGCAUCGGCAGGCGGACUCUCAACCACUGCGCCACCAGGGAAGCCCAGAUCUUCAUUUUUUUAAGCGAAAUGAACAAUACAGAUAAGGAAGAUGAAGAGGGUGGAAAACCCACACAGCGGAAUGGAGCUGUCCAUGCCGCGGGAGUGACAGGGGAGCGCUCAGAGGUAAGGCGCUCUGCAGAGAAAGUCACUCUGGCUCUUCUCUCUCGGUCCACCAGCCGGCGACGCUUCUUCUGUAAAAGCAUUCCUAGAAAAUAACCCUACAACCGGGAAGGGUAGCGAUCUUUGAGCGCAGUUUCCAGGAGCUGGUCCCCGCAGCAGGGAGAGGCCCCUCUCCCCCCGCGGCUGGCGCGGAAUGUGGCGAUCCGGCCCGGCGCGGGGGAUGACUUCCUGCGGCCGGAGCUCGGCGGCGGGAGCGGCGGGAGCAGCUGCUGCAGCUGGCAGGUGGGGUGGGGGCCGGCCGAACUGACCAAGCACAGACCCGGCGCGGCGGCACUGCGGCCCCGGGGCAGCCGGCGCGGGGACAUGCGCUGAUUCGAUCCCUCCGGAGAAGGCUCCGGACGUGCAGGCUCAGCAGCCAUGGCUCAUGGGCACAGCCCACUCUGCGGCAUGUGGGAUCCUCCCGGACCGGGGCACGAACCCGCAUCCCCUGCAUCGGCAGGCGGACUCUCAACCACUGCGCCACCAGGGAAGCCCAGAUCUUCAUUUUUUUAAGCGAAAUGAACAAUACAGAUAAGGAAGAUGAAGAGGGUGGAAAACCCACACAGCGGAAUGGAGCUGUCCAUGCCGCGGGAGUGACAGGGGAGCGCUCAGAGGUAAGGCGCUCUGCAGAGAAAGUCACUCUGGCUCUUCUCUCUCGGUCCACCAGCCGGCGACGCUUCUUCUGUAAAAGCAUUCCUAGAAAAUAACCCUACAACCGGGAAGGGUAGCGAUCUUUGAGCGCAGUUUCCAGGAGCUGGUCCCCGCAGCAGGGAGAGGCCCCUCUCCCCCCGCGGCUGGCGCGGAAUGUGGCGAUCCGGCCCGGCGCGGGGGAUGACUUCCUGCGGCCGGAGCUCGGCGGCGGGAGCGGCGGGAGCAGCUGCUGCAGCUGGCAGGUGGGGUGGGGGCCGGCCGAACUGACCAAGCACAGACCCGGCGCGGCGGCACUGCGGCCCCGGGGCAGCCGGCGCGGGGACAUGCGCUGAUUCGAUCCCUCCGGAGAAGGCUCCGGACGUGCAGGCUCAGCAGCCAUGGCUCAUGGGCCCAGCCCACUCUGCGGCAUGUGGGAUCCUCCCGGACCGGGGCACGAACCCGCAUCCCCUGCAUCGGCAGGCGGACUCUCAACCACUGCGCCACCAGGGAAGCCCAGAUCUUCAUUUUUUUAAGCGAAAUGAACAAUACAGAUAAGGAAGAUGAAGAGGGUGGAAAACCCACACAGCGGAAUGGAGCUGUCCAUGCCGCGGGAGUGACAGGGGAGCGCUCAGAGGUAAGGCGCUCUGCAGAGAAAGUCACUCUGGCUCUUCUCUCUCGGUCCACCAGCCAGCGACGCUUCUUCUGUAAAAGCAUUCCUAGAAAAUAACCCUACAACCGGGAAGGGUAGCGAUCUUUGAGCGCAGUUUCCAGGAGCUGGUCCCCGCAGCAGGGAGAGGCCCCUCUCCCCCCGCGGCUGGCGCGGAAUGUGGCGAUCCGGCCCGGCGCGGGGGAUGACUUCCUGCGGCCGGAGCUCGGCGGCGGGAGCGGCGGGAGCAGCUGCUGCAGCUGGCAGGUGGGGUGGGGGCCGGCCGAACUGACCAAGCACAGACCCGGCGCGGCGGCACUGCGGCCCCGGGGCAGCCGGCGCGGGGACAUGCGCUGAUUCGAUCCCUCCGGAGAAGGCUCCGGACGUGCAGGUUCAGCAGCCAUGGCUCAUGGGCACAGCCCACUCUGCGGCAUGUGGGAUCCUCCCGGACCGGGGCACGAACCCGCAUCCCCUGCAUCGGCAGGCGGACUCUCAACCACUGUGCCACCAGGGAAGCCCAGAUCUUCAUUUUUUUAAGGACCUAAACUGGGAGCUCUUCAUUAGCGCUGGCACAAAGGCUGCUGAGAUGAAUAGGAAGCAAGUGCCAAGGAGGAUAGUGAAUCAAAGAACCUUGAUUCAUGGAAAAGGAAUCCCAGAAGGAGCUCUAAACGUUACACAUUCCAAAGGAUUUAUUCAGGGUUUUCCAAUCAAAAUCAUUUUUACAAAAAAGAAACAGUUCUCAGACUUCAAGUAGUAUACUGCCAAGUAUGUGGAAGAACAUUGCCAGCAGUUGAGUGGUGUGGUCUGCUUUGAAAUAUAUUCAGUUUGCUUAGGAUGGACAUAUGUCUACUUCAAAGUUACUAUUUCUUUCUAGUAAUGCUGUCUACAGUACUGUAUUUGCUUUUGGCAAGUUAAGAAAACAAUGACAUCCCUCCAAGGUUCUAAAACAAUUACCAGCAUAAAAAUACAUUAAACUUUUUAGCUGAUACUUAAGGAAACCAGUACUAGCUAGCAUUCCUACUGAUGCUCGUAUUCAAAGAGAGGCGUGACAAAACCAUUAAUCUAGAAAACACCAGGUUGGAAAGAUGGAGAGAAAGAACUCAAGAGGACUACUUAAGCUGUUGCUUUCUUUACAUGUCCCCAAAUAUGAUAAUAACCAUAUAAGCUCCUAAAAUAAGUGCAAUUUUAUGCAAACUUCAUAGUAUGCCUAGUAUGAGGUAAAUUUGUACUUUAUUUUAUAGUAUAUUUUAAUUUUUUUAUUUUGGUAAAAUGUCCCAUAAUGUAAAAUUUACCAUUUUAACCAUUAUAAGUGUAUCAUUUAUUGGUAUUAAGUACAUUCACAAUGUUGAGCAACCAUUACCAUUAUCCAUUUUAAGACCUUUCUUGUUAUCCCAAACAGAAACUGUACUCACUAAACAAUAACCCCUUAUUUCUCCCCUCCCCUUAGCCUCUGGUUAACUCUAUUCUAUUUUCUGGGUUUAUAAUUUGCCUAUCCUAACUACCUCAUAUAAGUGGAAUCAUAUAAUAGUUGUCCUUUUGUGUCUGGCUUCUUUCACUUAACAUAAUGUUUUCAAAGUUUAUCCAUGUUAUAGCAUGUAGCAGCAUUUCAUUCCUUUUUAAAGCCAUACAAUGUAUAGUGAUUUUUAGUUGCAAAACACUUUUAGUACAUUGUGUUUCUAUUAUAUUAAUGAUAUCUAGCAUAUAUCACUACCAUAUUACCUUUAGUAGAUGCCCAGUAAUGUGUACUAUGAGUGAGCCAUAAUUUCAUUCAGUCAAAACCCAUUGAUAAACAUUUAUUAAGUUCCAAACAGUUUUAUGAUUUCAAGAAAUGUGGUAAUGGACAUAGAGGUUCAUGUCUUGAUGUCCUGGAUCUUUUGCUUUUGAUGGAAGAAUUCUUGGAGUGGCAUGGAAUGGUAUUGUUGAGUCAGAGAUUAUGCAGAAACAUUUAUCAUUUGAAUACAUACAUUGACUAUAAAAACCAUCAACUUCUUCAACAGAUAAUAUUCCUGUAUUUUAUGUAACCAUUUAUGACUAUCUUAAAAAUGAAUGCAAGUAAUGUAAGGGAAUCCACUUAAUGUGAUUUGAGCAAGGAAACAUUCUCACUUUUUUCAUUUCUAGUUCAUGGAAGAAAAUUCCUAUACACAAGUAUUGAAAUAUUUCAAGUCUCUGGAUCACACAUUUCAUCAUUUCAAAAAUAUUACAGAGUACAUCACGGAUGUCAGUCAAGUCUUGUAACAGCAGUGUAGAAAACUAGUAACAUUUAUAGCUAGUUUGUUUUUAAGCUUCAGCAAUGGAUCAAUUCUAUCCAGCCUAAUCUGUAAUUUUAAUUAGAUUAAUUUUUAAAAUAAAACAGAUUAAUUUUUAAUUUAAAAGUAUUUUUAGUUCAUAUUUAUGUACCUGCAUUA